rnacentral:rRNA from 1 species
CGCGCAGGCGGAUUAGCAAGUCAGAGGUGAAAUCCUACAGCUUAACUGUAGAACUGCCUUUGAAACUGUUAAUCUUGAGUACGGAAGAGAGAAGCGGAAUUCCAGGUGUAGUGGUGAAAUACGUAGAUAUCUGGAAGAACACCAGUUGCGAAGGCGGCUUCUUGGUCCGUUACUGACGCUGAGGCGCGAAAGCGUGGGGAGCAAACA